UACAGAGGUCCCGAGCGUUGUUCGGAUUCACUGGGCGUAAAGGGUGCGUAGGCGGCGAGGUAAGUCGGAUGUGAAAGCUCGGAGCUCAACUCCGAAAUGGCAUUGGAAACUACCUUGCUCGAGGGUUGGAGGGGGGACUGGAAUUCUCGGUGUAGCAGUGAAAUGCGUAGAUAUGCGGAGGAACACCGAUGGCGAAGGCAAUCCCCUGGGCCUGCACUGACGCUCAUGCACGAAAGCGUGGGGAGCAAACAGG
rnacentral:rRNA from 1 species